UACGGAGGGCGCAAGCGUUACUCGGAAUCACUGGGCGUAAAGAGCGUGUAGGCGGGUUUGUAAGUUGGGAGUGAAAUCCUAUGGCUCAACCAUAGAACUGCUUCCAAAACUGCUUACCUAGAAUGAGGGAGAGGUAGAUGGAAUUUCUGGUGUAGGGGUAAAAUCCGUAGAGAUCAGAAGGAAUACCGAUUGCGAAGGCGAUCUACUGGAACUUUAUUGACGCUGAGACGCGAAAGCGUGGGGAGCAAACAGG
rnacentral:rRNA from 1 species